rnacentral:rRNA from 1 species
AUGCUCACGCACUCGAACUACAGCGAGUGGGCGUUGAUCAUGGAGUGCAACCUUCAUGCGACGAGCCUCUGGGCUCCCAUGGAGGACGACCUGAUCGAGAGAAAGGAGGACAGGAAAGCCGUGGCGGCCCUCAUGCGCGCCACGCCGCCAGAGAUGCACGGCAUGCUCGCGGCGAAGGCAAGCGCCAAGGAGGCGUGGGAAGCCAUCCGUACCCAGCGCCUCGGCAGCAACCGCGUGCGCGAGGCAAACGCGCAGAAGCUGCGGGCGGACUUCGAGAACAUCGCCUUCAAGGAGGGCGAGCUCGUCGACGAAUUCGCCAUGCGGAUCUCCAGCCUUGCGUCACAGCUCCGCGCGCUCGGCGACACCAUGGACGACGCGAGAGUCGUGCGGAAAUUUCUUCGCGUCGUGCCAUCUCGCUUCGCUCAGGUAGCGGUCUCCAUCGAGACCUUGCUUGAUCUGAGUGAGCUCUCCGUCGAUGAGCUCACGGGCCGGUUGCGGGUGGUCGAGGACCGUCUUGACGACGGCCGCGAGAGCUUUGGCGGCGGACAACUCCUAUUCUCAAAGAAGUGGGAGGCGAGGAAGCGUCAAGGACGUGGUGGCGGUGCCCAGAGCAGCAGAGGCGGCGGUCGCACCCAGGGUGGAGCCGGGCGAGGUGCCGGCAACGACGACCGAGACAAGUGCCAAUAUUGCAGCAUCAAGGGCCACUGGGCCCGUGAGUGCCGCAAGAGGAUGGCUGACGAGGAUGCCGCGGCCGCGGCGAACCUCGUCGAGGCUGAAGAAGAUGGUGGGCCAGCAAUGAUGAUGGCUUGCGUCGAGACCAUGCAGGAGGGCGGAGCGCCUCCGGCGACCAUGGUCCUGACAAGCAUCGAAGCCGUGCAGGAGGGCGCAGCACCUCCGGCGACCACGGUGCCGGCAACCGUUAAGUCCGUGCGGGAGGCACGGAGCUCUUCAAGUAAUCCCCUCUCGACAUCGGUAGCGCUCUCCUCGGCAACAACGUUCUCGGGAGGCUACGAUUGGGAGGAGAUGAAGACCCGGGUGUGGGGGAGCCACACCCCGGAAACCACGUCCCCUGCGACGCUGGUCAAGCCCGUGCAAGUUGGCACGACAAAGGCGUACCCGACAUCCUCGGGACCCAAUAAGCCCGUGUCAGGAGGCACGGCAACGAUGUAUAUGGUGGGCCACGUCCCAACCAUGAUGCUGGUGACCAGUGAGACCGUGCAAGAGGCACGACACUCUCAGGUCGGCCACACCCCGACAACCAGGUUCUCGGGGUUCUGCAAGCCCGUGUGGGCAACACGGCACUCUUCGACAAGCCUCAACUGGGAGGCAAUGAAGAGACGGUCAUGGGGCGGCAAGGCCUCGACCGAGACUAUGGCGACCAUAGAGUCCGUGCAGGAGGCACAACACUCUCUGGUCGGCUAUGCCGCGACCCCGAUGCGCUCGGGGUCCAUCGAGUCCGUGCGGGACGCACGGGACUCUAUAGUUGGGCACGACCCGACUACGCUGGUGGUGACCGCCGAGACCGUGCAGGAGGCACGAUGCUCUAUGGUCGGCCACACUGCAGCCCCGACGCACUCAGGCUCCAUCGAGUUCGUGCGGGAGGCACGACUCACGAUUGUCGGGGGAGACCCGACAAGCAAGUCUGAUGGGAAGAGCACCAAGGACUCCGCUACCCUGAGAGGAGCCACUCCGGUCAGUGUGGCGUCCGGCACAACGACCCUGGGAAGGGAGUUCCCGGGCAGUGCGGCGUCCGGCACGAUGACCCCAGGAAGGGAAUUCCUGGGUAGUCCGAUGUCCGACAAGUCAUCCCCGGGAAGGGAGUUCCCGGGUAGCGUGACGUCCGACACGAUGACCCCAGGAAGGGAGUUCCCGGGCAGUGUGACAUCAGGAACUACGACCCCAGAAACACUGACGCCCACGAGCGAGGUGGUUCCCGGGCAGUUCAUGUCGCCAUCAACAGCGCGGUCAGACUUGUUCGAUGCCAACAAAAAUGGUGGCGAUCCACACAAGUUCCGACGAAGCCUAGGGGGACCUUCUCGAGCCCGCGAGACGAUCGCAGCACCCGAGAUCAAGAAGCACGAACAGGGCAUACGGGCCGCCGAGAAGGCGGACAUCCCAACGAAGGCACUUGGUUGCGUCGAGUUCCAAGAGCCGCACGACAGGACCGGGAUCAUCAAGACUCUCCUACAGGUUUGA